AAGGAUUUAAGUUAAACAAACUUUCAACCUUCAAAGUUGAAUAUAGGGGCAUUCUCUAAGCCUUA
rnacentral:tRNA from 1 species